rnacentral:rRNA from 1 species
AGAUUGAACGCUGGCGGCAUGCCUUACACAUGCAAGUCGAACGGCAGCACGGGAGCAAUCCCGGUGGCGAGUGGCGAACGGGUGAGUAAUACAUCGGAACGUGCCUAGUAGUGGGGGGAUAGCCCGGCGAAAGCCGGAUUAAUACCGCAUACGACCUACGGGUGAAAGCGGGGGAUCGCAAGACCUCGCGCUAUUGGAGCGGCUGAUGUCAGAUUAGGUAGUUGGUAGGGUAAAAGCCUACCAAGCCGACGAUCUGUAGCUGGUCUGAGAGGACGACCAGCCACACUGGGACUGAGACACGGCCCAGACUCCUACGGGAGGCAGCAGUGGGGAAUUUUGGACAAUGGGCGCAAGCCUGAUCCAGCCAUGCCGCGUGCGGGAAGAAGGCCUUCGGUGUAACCGCUUUGUCGAGGUAAGAACGCACGUGGACCUAAUACCGUCGGUAGUAACGUGACGGUACCUA